GUAGGUGAACCUGCGGAAGGAUCAUUACCGAGUAAGGGUCUUCCAGGCCCGACCUCCAACCCUUUGUUUAACCAACCACGUUGCUUUGGCGGGCCCGUCCUCUGGGGCCGCCGGGGGCUUAACCGCCCCUGGCCCGUGCCCGCCGGGGGCUUAACCGCCCCUGGCCCGUGCCCGCCGGGAGCCAUCUUAAAUUCUGAUAAUCGUGCCGUCUGAGUAUAGAUAUAAAUCGUUAAAAAACUUUCAACAACGG
rnacentral:misc_RNA from 1 species